GCAGACGUAUCGAAGUGGUCAUAACGGGGCUGACUCGAAAUCAGUUAGGAGCAAUCCUCGCGAGUUCGAAUCUCGCCGUCUGCGCCA
rnacentral:tRNA from 1 species